rnacentral:tRNA from 1 species
GGCUUUUUAGUUUAAAUUAAAAUACAGGUUUUGUAAGUCUGUGAUAAUAUUAAUUAUUAGUAGCCU